rnacentral:rRNA from 1 species
AUUGAACGCUGGCGGCAUGCCUUACACAUGCAAGUCGGACGAGUCGAGAACGGGAGUGUAAUAUAUUGGAACGUACCGAGUAAUGGGGGAUAACCAAUCGAAAGAUUGGAUAAUACCGCAUAUUAUUCGAGCGGCACAUAUCUGAUUAGCUUGUUGGUGGGGUAAAGGCCUACCAAGGCGACGAGCAGUAGCGGGUCUGAGGGGAUGAUCCGCCACACUGGAACUGAGAAACGGCCCAGACUCCUACGGGAGGCAGCAGGGGGGAAUUUUGGACAAGGGGCGCAAGCCUGAUCCAGCCAUGCGGCGGGUCGGAAGAAGGCCUUCGGGUUGUAAAGGACUUUUGUUAGGGAAGCGGUACCUAAAGAGUAAGCACCGGCUAACUACGUGCCAGCAGCCGCGGUAAUUC